rnacentral:rRNA from 1 species
UGUGUAGGUGGUUUGGUAUGUCGGAUGUGAAAUCUCACCGCUCACCGGUGAAACUGCAUUCGAAACUGCCAGACUAGAGUACAGGAGAGGAGAGCGGAAUUCUUGGUGUAGCGGUGGAAUGCGUUGAUAUCAAGAAGAACACCGGUGGCGAAGGCGGCUCUCUGGAAUGUUACUGACACUGAGACACGAAAGCUGGGGGAGCAAACA